UACGUAGGGUGCGAGCGUUAAUCGGAAUUACUGGGCGUAAAGUGUGCGCAGGCGGCCGAGCAAGUCGAGUGUGGAAGCCCCGAGCUUAACUUGGGAACUGCGCUCGAAACUACUUGGCUAGAGUGUGGCAGAGGGAGGUGGAAUUCCACGUGUAGCGGUGAAAUGCGUAGAGAUGUGGAGGAACACCGAUGGCGAAGGCAGCCUCCUGGGCCAACACUGACGCUCAUGCACGAAAGCGUGGGGAGCAAACAGG
rnacentral:rRNA from 1 species